rnacentral:lncRNA from 1 species
UUUAAUAUGUUGUGUGGGAUUGAUCUGCAUUCUUUUGGAAUAUGGAUUGAUAUGUAAUAUUAAUUGGAUUUUUAUGUAUUAUUUUUCUAAUUUGGAAUCUGGAAUUUGUUUUUCAGAAUCCAUGGCUUGAUGUGCAAUAUUAGUGGAUCUUUAUGAAUUGCUUUUCUCAAAAUUAAAUUAACAUAAUCACAUGCCUAUAGAUACUAGGCUUGCAGUCAACACAAACAGAAGAAUUGCUUUGACAAAAAGCUCAGAAGAGACAUCCACAUUGCAAACGAAGUCGUAUAAACAGUCGCCAUCGGCAAACGACGCUAACAAUCCUCCAUCCCUCUUAUCGGAAAGACAGACAGAACAAUUGCAGAAGGCAAUUAAAUAAAUUAAGUAAUCAAAGUUAUUAAAAAUUACUUUUUAUGUAUAUAUUUUCACCUUUUGUCAACCACAUUGGAAAUUACAUGCAAAAGGUAAAAAACUAACGACAAGGAAAAUAUUAGUGAGAGGAAGUGAUAAAAAUGAGUGAAAAUCCAUCAAAAAAGAAAGGGAGGAUAACUCAUCUUAGUUUCAAAUCCAAAGGCUCUUAGGAAGUCUUUCGGAGACCCGUUCGGUCAAAAUAUCUAUCGGAAUAAGGAGAGGUUACUGCUAGAGUUUCAUGCCAACCCAACAGCAGAUGGUGGAGAUCAGAGCUAUGGGCUUUCAAAUAUAAAGGUGAGAGUUUGGUGGUUUUGAACUAACUUUUUGGAGAUCCAAACCAAUAGGUAGAGAGAGGAGAGGAAGCGAAAGAGAUUGACAACAUUCGAUCGGUGAAAGAACGACUUUAACGGUGGCGAUGAAAACAACAGCGUUUGGUAGAUUGCCUCCGCUUUGGUGGUUUGUUGGUGUGCUAUGAGUUUUUUCCAUGAGGCUUGAUGGAGUCCG